rnacentral:rRNA from 1 species
UGAGGAAUAUUGGUCAAUGGGCGCAAGCCUGAACCAGCCAUCCCGCGUGAAGGAUGAAGGCCCUAUGGGUCGUAAACUUCUUUUAUACACCAAGAAAAAGCAGGACGUGUCCUGCCCCGACGGUAGUGUAUGAAUAAGCAUCGGCUAACUCCGUGCCAGCAGCCGCGGUAAUACGGAGGAUGCGAGCGUUAUCCGGAUUCAUUGGGUUUAAAGGGUGCGUAGGCGGCUUUUUAAGUCAGUGGUGAAAUCUUGCCGCUUAACGGUAAAGUUGCCAUUGAUACUGAGAAGCUUGACUACAAUUGAGGUAAGCGGAAUGUGUAGUGUAGCGGUGAAAUGCGCAGAUAUUACACAGAACAACGAUUGCGAAGGCAGCUUAAUAAACUGUCACUGACGCUGAUGCACGGAAGCGUGGGGAGCGAACA